GAGCGUUGUUCGGAAUUAUUGGGCGUAAAGGGUGCGUAGGCGGUUUGGUAAGUCUGAUGUGAAAUCUAUGGGCUCAACUCAUAGUCUGCAUCGGAAACUGCCGGGCUUGAGUAUGGGAGAGGUGAGUGGAAUUCCUGGUGUAGCGGUGAAAUGCGUAGAUAUCAGGAGGAACACCUGUGGCGAAAGCGGCUCACUGGACCAUAACUGACGCUGAUGCACGAAAGCUAGGGGAGCAAACAGG
rnacentral:rRNA from 1 species